rnacentral:miRNA from 1 species
UUUCCUCAUAUUCAUUCAGGA